CCUACGGGAGGCAGCAGUGGGGGAUAUUGCACAAUGGGGGGAACCCUGAUGCAGCGACGCCGCGUGGGUGAAGGAGUGCUUCGGCAUGUAAAGCCCUAUCGGCAGGGAAGAAGCAAGACGGUACCUGACUAAGAAGCCCCGGCUAACUACGUGCCAGCAGCCGCGGUAAUACGUAGGGGGCGAGCGUUAUCCGGAUUCACUGGGUGUAAAGGGAGCGUAGACGGCGAUGCAAGCCAGGGGUGAAAGCCCGGGGCCCAACCCCGGGACUGCCCUUGGAACUGGGAGGCUAGAGUGCGGGAGGGGCAGGCGGAAUUCCUGGUGUAGCGGUGAAAUGCGUAGAUAUUAGGAGGAACACCAGUGGCGAAGGCGGCUUACUGGACUGUAACUGACGUUGAGGCUCGAAAGCGUGGGGAGCAAACAGGAUUAGAUACCCGGGUAGUC
rnacentral:rRNA from 1 species